GAACUUAUAGGCAUAAUUUUUAGAAUGCAGAUGUGCAGAACCUAUAGGCAUAAUUUUUAAAAUGUAGAAAUUAUAGGCAUGACUUCUAAGAUGCAGAAAUGCAGAAAACUUAUAGGCAUGCGUCCUAAAAUGCAGAAAUACAGAACUUAUAAAUAACCUAUGGGCAAGUUUUCUACCCUUUGCAUGCAUUCGUACCCAUCCCUUUACACUAGCCAUCCCCAAUAGUUAUUACAAAUUAUUACAGACUCGAAUGAGUAAAGAAAAAAAAAAGUAAAAUUACAUUAGAAGUUCAAGCUACAUCCAAAAAUCUUAAUUCAGACUCAAAGUCCAAUAAAUAUGAGAUAAACCAACUUUCAGGGUCAGAUUUCCAAAAGCCUUUCUCUUAUUUGGGAUGUGUCAAAGGUCCUAAGAGUAUCAAAGGGCUCUGGGCAGUGCUUACACCCUAAACACAUUGAAUAAUUAAGAUCAUAGUACAACAUGGAAAUGCCAGCCCUCAUAUGUCCAUGUUUAGAGGGAACUCAAGGUCCCAAAGCAAGGCUCAUAAGAGAGGGGCAGAACUUUAGAAUCUAAGAAUAAAUGGAAGUGCAUAGAGGGGAAUCAGGGAGAGCCAUGGAAGGCUAGUAGUCAUGUCCAAUAAUUGGUAAUGUUGGCACACUCUUGAUCAGCAUGUUAGCCAAACUUAAGAGUUAGGAUCCCUUGUGGAUCAGGUUAUAGCCUGGGCAAUAAUUUAGAUACUGUGAGACAAAAAACUUAACUCAAGCACAUAGAAGGAAAUAUGGGUAGGGAUUCACAAUGGAAAAUAUGCAAGGAAAGAACAUAAUUGGCAUAAAUCACUGUACAUGAACAGUAAAGCAAACAAGAGUACUGAAACUGUGAAGUAAACACAUAGGGAUGAAGCAGAAAACUAAAUGAAAAACAUACCAGUUUAAGGAAAACAAAUAAGAACACAGUAGUCUUGAGAGAGUCAAGUUGCAAACAAAGUGAUUCCAAAAUAUCUCAAGCAAGAAGAGUGUUGAAUUAAAAAAUAGUAUUGCAAGUGUGCAAGUACUGAAUUGGAAGACUAGUAGUGAAGGUGGUGUGAAGAUGAAAAUCGUAAAGUGUAAGGUUGUAGUUCUAAGGUGUUGAACUCGAAGCGUAGAUGAAAGUAUUGAAUUGGAAGUUUGUUAAAAGUGAAGAAGGGCAGUCCCUUUUAUAGUGUAGAGAAACAAGUAAGAAAGGCAAGGAAAUAUCAUUGAAAUCAGACACCCUUUGGUUAGGGGAUUAUGAUUCCAACAUGUGAAAAUUAGUUAAGGAAGGAAAUUUAUAAUUAAAACCUUUCAAAAUAUCAUAAAAGGGGUAAUUACGUAGACAUUAUUUAAGGAAAAUAAUCAAUAGUACACGAUUUGUGCCAAAUAUUGUAAGGGAAUCAAUCAAACAACAAUGAAACUAGAAUUAUAAGUUCAAUUUGAAUGAACCGAGUCAAGAAAGGUAAGGGAGGUUCAAUCAAAGAAAAAAUUAGUGCCAAAUCAUUAGCCUUAUUAUAGGGAUUUCAGAAUCAAUCACUUGGUUGGUGAAAAUCUUUUUGAAAGAGGAAUUUGAUCAUAUAUAAAGCACACAGAUAAAACAAAAAGAGUCGCUGGGUUACUAUAGAAAAAUAGUUUAACACUGAAAGCCUUAGAGUCAUAAGAAAAAAAGGAUUUCAAGUUCAAUUACAGACUCACAGUGAGUCUGAUAGCCUUGGGUCCCAAAGCGGAACCCUAGCACCACUUGUCAAAGAAACCUCCAAGACCUAGGGCUUCGAAUAGAGUCAGACAUGGAGGCGAGAAAACAAAGUCAUUGAAAGAAUCUCAGAAGUCUUUAUCAAAGUUUUAUGAGAGACAAACAUACAUAAUAAAAGAACAUUGAUUCAAGGUCAUGAGACCAUGUUUGAGAAAACUUGGAGCUAAAAAUAAGUUUAGAAGAAAGAGAUGAUACGAUGUUUUAAAUAGCAGUGGAGAAAAAUAUGCUUAGCAGGAACUCAAAUAGAGUUUAGUAAAGUGAAAAAAAUCACAGAAUUCAACCAUAAACACAUAUAGAAAAAAGUGAGGAAAACAACACAAAUUAAUAUGCGAGCAUAAGAUUAACAACAAAAGAUAGAAGAGUCUUGCAUAAUAUAACAGAAACUAGAGAGCAAAAUCAUGCAUAAUAAGAAGAAAACAUACAAGCAUAAGAAUCACAUAAAGAAAGAACAGGAAGAAGCGAAAAAAUAUUUGAAAAACCCUUUUCAGAAACCCUAAAAUCAAAUUUGAACGAUUUUGAAAAGGAAAUUUGGGGAAAACUUUUAAAAUGUCAAAUAACUCUCAGGCAUGUCAUAGAUCUAAAAGAAAUAAGCAAGUACAGAACCUCAGACGGCUUAGAGUUGUAGAGAAAACUCUAGAAUGAGAAAGGUCUUGAGGAAAGUUAGAUCCCGAGUCGAAGAGACUCAUAUUGCUUGAACACCGGAAUAAUGAUCGGAAAGGCCAUAGAUCUACAUAUCUGAGAAAGAUUUGAAGGGAACCAUCAGAGUCAGGCUUCAAAUCAUUGAAAAACUUAGGUUUAAUGGUGAUAGAGGGCGAGCAUAAGUCAUCCAUGGCCUGAAACGCCAUGGAUUCUGGUGGGAUCGUUGUGGAAUAAGGUAGGAUAUGGCUAGGGUUUCAGAGAUGCUAGAAAGAGUUUGAGAGAAGAAGAGGGUUUCAAAGGAGG
rnacentral:lncRNA from 1 species